rnacentral:rRNA from 1 species
UGAGUAACACGUAUCCAACCUGCCGUCUACUCUUGGACAGCCUUCUGAAAGGAAGAUUAAUACAAGAUGGCAUCAUGAGUCCGCAUGUUCACAUGAUUAAAGGUAUUCCGGUAGACGAUGGGAUGCGUUCCAUUAGAUAGUAGGCGGGGUAACGGCCCACCUAGUCUUCGAUGGAUAGGGGUUCUGAGAGGAAGGUCCCCCACAUUGGAACUGAGACACGGUCCAA